GUGGGGAAUCUUAGACAAUGGGCGCAAGCCUGAUCUAGCCAUGCCGCGUGAUCGAUGAAGGCCUUAGGGUUGUAAAGAUCUUUCAGUGGGGAAGAUAAUGACUGUACCCACAGAAGAAGCCCCGGCUAACUCCGUGCCAGCAGCCGUGGUAAUACGGAGGGGGCUAGCGUUGUUCGGAAUUACUGGGCGUAAAGCGCACGUAGGCGGAACAGAAAGUCAGAGGUGAAAUCCCAGGGCUCAACCUUGGAACUGCCUUUGAAACUCCUGUUCUUGAGUUCGAGAGAGGUGAGUGGAAUUCCGAGUGUAGAGGUGAAAUUCGUAGAUAUUCGGAGGAACACCAGUGGCGAAGGCGGCUCACUGGCUCGAUACUGACGCUGAGGUGCGAAAGCGUGGGGAGCAAACAGGAUUAGAUACCCUUGUAGUCC
rnacentral:rRNA from 1 species